rnacentral:rRNA from 1 species
CCCUUAGAGUUUGAUCCUGGCUCAAGACGAACGCUGGCGGCGUGCCUAACACAUGCAAGUCGAACGGAAGUUAGAGCUUCGGUUUUAACUUUAGUGGCGAACGGGUGAGUAACGCGUGAGGAACCUGCCUUUCGGUGGGGGACAACAGUUGGAAACGACUGCUAAUACCGCAUGAUACUUUUGGGAGACAUCUCCUGAAAGUCAAAGCUUUAUGUGCUGAAAGAUGGCCUCGCGUCUGAUUAGCUAGUUGGUGAGGUAACGGCUCACCAAGGCGACGAUCAGUAGCCGGUCUGAGAGGAUGAACGGCCACAUUGGGACUGAGAUACGGCCCAGACUCCUACGGGAGGCAGCAGUGGGGAAUAUUGGGCAAUGGGGGAAACCCUGACCCAGCAACGCCGCGUGAAGGAAGAAGGCCUUCGGGUUGUAAACUUCUUUUACCAGGGACGAAGGACGUGACGGUACCUGGAGAAAAAGCAACGGCUAACUACGUGCCAGCAGCCGCGGUAAUACGUAGGUUGCAAGCGUUGUCCGGAUUUACUGGGUGUAAAGGGCGUGUAGGCGGAGAUGCAAGUUGGGAGUGAAAUCCAUGGGCUCAACCCAUGAACUGCUCUCAAAACUGUAUCCCUUGAGUAUCGGAGAGGCAAGCGGAAUUCCUAGUGUAGCGGUGAAAUGCGUAGAUAUUAGGAGGAACACCAGUGGCGAAGGCGGCUUGCUGGACGACAACUGACGCUGAGGCGCGACAGCGUGGGGAGCAAACAGGAUUAGAUACCAUGGUAGUCCACGCUGUAAACGAAGAAUGCUAGGUGUGGGGGGACUGACCCCUUCCGUGCCGGAGUAAACACAAUAAGCAAUCCACCUGGGGAGUACGGCCGCAAGGCUGAAACUCAAAGGAAUUGACGGGGGCCCGCACAAGCAGUGGAGUAUGUGGUUUAAUUCGAAGCAACGCGAAGAACCUUACCAGGUCUUGACAUCCAACUAACGAGGCAGAGAUGCGUUAGGUGCCCUCCGGGGAAAGUUGAGACAGGUGGUGCAUGGUUGUCGUCAGCUCGUGUCGUGAGAUGUUGGGUUAAGUCCCGCAACGAGCGCAACCCUUGUCAUUAGUUGCUACGCGAGAGCACUCUAAUGAGACUGCCGUUGACAAAACGGAGGAAGGUGGGGACGACGUCAAAUCAUCAUGCCCCUUAUGACCUGGGCUACACACGUACUACAAUGGCCAUUAACAGAGGGAAGCAAGACCGCGAGGUGGAGCAAAACCCCAAAAAUGGUCCCAGUUCAGAUUGUAGGCUGCAACUCGCCUAUAUGAAGUCGGAAUUGCUAGUAAUCGCGGAUCAGCAUGCCGCGGUGAAUACGUUCCCGGGCCUUGCACA